rnacentral:lncRNA from 1 species
CAUAGGAAAUUCCAUUCAUAUUGGUAAGAAAUCGAUCUCCCCAUCCCUAUAAAUGUUUCCGUUCUCCUAUCAACCAAAGUAGGAUAAUAUUGUCACUUAAACAUCAUGAAUAUUUUCAUAUUUUUUCCAAUUUGGACUUCUUUUUAUGGUGUGUCUUUUUCUUUACAGAUAAAUGCAAGUAUCUAGUUCACCCGCAAAGAACAACAUGCAAGGAUGUAACUGCUUCUAUCGGCCGUGAGUGCAAUCUGUCAAAAUGCGAGGGGACCUGCAAAGAUUUGAUUGGAGCGGAACUCACGGCCUCAUGGUGUAUCAACCCCGUCCCAUACUAUUGGCAUUGUAGGUGCCGUAUCUGUUUGUAGAGUUGCACUGAACAAUCAUGUCGAAAAAUGGACAAAUGAUGUGAUCCAAUAAUAAAAUAUUCCAGUGACAUGCAUCUAAGAAUACAUAACGAUUGCCAAAUUUAGGUGUUCUAUUCAAUUUUGUCCUGUGCGAUAUUGAUCUCGUAAUUUUAGGUUUGCAUGGCCUCCUGAUAUAUAAGUUAAAAA